rnacentral:rRNA from 1 species
GAUGAACGCUGGCGGCGUGCCUAAUACAUGCAAGUCGAGCGAACGGACGAGAAGCUUGCUCUUCUGAUGUUAGCGGCGGACGGGUGAGUAACACGUGGAUAACCUACCUAUAAGACUGGGAUAACUUCGGGAAACCGGAGCUAAUACCGGCUAAUAUUUUGAACCGCAUGGUUCAAAAGUGAAAGACGGUCUUGCUGUCACUUAUAGAUGGAUCCGCGCUGCAUUAGCUAGUUGGUAAGGUAACGGCUUACCAAGGCAACGAUGCAUAGCCGACCUGAGAGGGUGAUCGGCCACACUGGAACUGAGACACGGUCCAGACUCCUACGGGAGGCAGCAGUAGGGAAUCUUCCGCAAUGGGCGCAAGCCUGACGGAGCAACGCCGCGUGAGUGAUGAAGGUCUUCGGAUCGUAAAACUCUGUUAUUAGGGAAGAACAUAUGUGUAAGUAACUGUGCACAUCUUGACGGUACCUAAUCAGAAAGCCACGGCUAACUACGUG